UAGGGAAUCUUCCACAAUGGACGCAAGUCUGAUGGAGCAACGCCGCGUGAGUGAAGAAGGUUUUCGGACCGUAAAGCUCUGUUGUUGGUGAAGAAGGAUAGAGGUAGUAACUGGCCUUUAUUUGACGGUAAUCAACCAGAAAGUCACGGCUAACUACGUGCCAGCAGCCGCGGUAAAUCGUAGGUGGCAAGCGUUGUCCGGAUUUAUUGGGCGUAAAGCGAGCGCAGGCGGAAGAAUAAGUCUGAUGUGAAAGCCCUCGGCUUAACCGAGGAAUUGCAUCGGAAACUGUUUUCUGAGUGCAGAAGAGGAGAGUAGAACUCCAUGUGUAGCGGUGGAAUGCGUAGAUAUAUGGAAGAAUACCAGUGGCGAAGGCGGCUCUCUGGUCUGCAACUGACGCUGAGGCUCGAAAGCAUGGGUAGCGAACAGGAUUAGAUACCCUGGUAGUCCAUGCCGUAAACGAUGAGUGCUAAGUGUUGGGAGGCUUCCGCCUCUCAGUGCUGCAGCUAACGCAUUAAGCACUCCGCCUGGGGAGUACGACCGCAAGGUUGAAAC
rnacentral:rRNA from 1 species